UCAACUGCCCAGUUCCUGGAAGAAUGUUUGGAAAAUUCAGGAUGACUCUAGUGGCCUCUUGUACAGUCAUUAUUACAUAAUAGUUCUGAAACACUUGGCUACCUCUUGGACAGUGAGAUUGCUAGCAAGAUAGAAACCGUGAUAUAGUUACCUCUAAUUGUACAGCACCACCAGUACAAUAAUAUGCUGCUUACAAUUUUCUUACAAAGUAAGUUAACAGGCUGACCCAAAGAGAAAAAGAGCCAACUUUUCCUAAAUAAAGCAUUUUCAUUCAACUUUUUGUAUUGUAGACUCAUGGCUCAAAGGUUAAGAGUCCCAGAGGACCCUGGUUCAAUUAGCAGCAUCCAUAUGCAACUCACAACUGUCUAUAUCUCCAGUUACAGGGAAUCUGAUACCUUCCCACAAAAUACAUGCAAGUGAGACACCAAUGCAGUUUAGAUGACAUCGGCAAUUUACUUUUGGAGAAGAGAUAUUCAAGUAAGCUUGUCUGUCUCACUGACUGUUAGACAAUAUACCAUCCUGCAUACUCUACAAGAGGAAAGGAAAGUGGUAGACCAGUCAGAAGACCUCAACAGAAGCUGAAAAAGCACCUGGCACUAUGAUGUUAUAUUUCUUCAAUGAAGGAGUGUAAACUGAACAACAUUCUAUUAUUUACAAAUCAUUCAGUAAUACAUAGUUGUAACAAUGGAAUCUAAUGAAGUAAGUUAACUGUAACAAUGGAAUCUAAUGAAGAAAGUUAACUGAGAAGCUGGUUUCUCUCUUCUCUGUUUAUCUCCUCUCCCAAAGAUACUCCAUCCUACCAUUAGAAUGCAUGCUCAACUAUGCCCUUAGCAGCUUUAUUCAUAAUAGUGAGAAAUUGGAAACAACCCAAUUUUUCCCUUACCGAAGGAUGAGUAUCUAAUCUCGUGACUUGAAAAAAUGUUUACUCUUAUCAAGACCCAGGUUUCCUUACAUUAUAUAUUCUAAUCUGUGAACUGUUUACGUCUUAAAGAGAUAAUUGUAUUACAUGUCUCAGAAUAGAUUGGUUGACCUAAUGAUCAGGCUAAAGGCCAACAGAAUGCAUGAUGUCUCAAGGAACUGAAGUUAUAGAUGAUAGGAUGUCACAAUUUGAGUGCUGAAAAUCCAAAUUGAGUAUUCUGGAAAAUCACCAAGUUUCUUUAAUAAUUGAGGCUUCUCUCCAGCCUGCUCCCUGUUGGCACAUAUAUGGGCUAAAAUAUAACUAACUUUAUACUUGGUAAUUUAGUUUGUUUAAAUAUUAUUUUAUUUUUUUAUUCAGUCAAUCAGGAGUAAACCUCUAUAGUGGGUCACAUUUAUGUUAGUUUAAUUAUUUUAUGUGAAUUCAGUUACUCUCUUGUAGAUAUAAAAGAGUUUGAAUAGUGGUUUAGGUGUUAGACUUAAUAUCAGAUUAAUUGCUGUCCUAUGAUUAAUAAGGUUGAACUUAAUAUAUUUUAUAUUCCGUAGAUUACUAAUUGCAGGUCAUAUCUAUCCAUUUGGUGCAUUCUCCAGCAAAGUAAGUGAAACCGUAGCAUUUAAAUUUGAAGGAUGCUGAGUUUUAAACAAAAUCUCUGCGAUGAAGGGGAAACUUCCCUUAUGCUUUAUUCUAAUGACUACAAUUAUUUCAACCAUAGUCUCUCAUGGUGAAUCGCAGAGUGCCAGAAUGUGGCAGCAAGAUGCAGAUCUUUGAAUCUACCCUAAUUCAGCAUGGAAGGUCAAAUUGGUAAAGGCAGUUGAAAGCAGAGAGAAAUAGUAUAUCUGAGAUGGAUAUGCAGGGAUAAACACUGCAAACAAAUACACUUGAAAAUUCAGGACUGGGGAUUUCUAUAAUAUAGCUCCUUCUCAGUACAGAUGGGACUUCCAAAGUAAGUGUAAUAUUACAGAUGUAAUUAUUUGCUGUUAUCGAAAAAGAGGUGUGCAACCAGUACUAAAAUAAACCCCUAAGUAUUUAUUUCAAUAGUUAAGAUCUUCCAGAAGCAGUCUCCACUUGUUUGGAAAGAACCAGUAAACAUAAAUGUUUCUUUCUUUAAGGCUAUACUACUCCUGCUUUUUCUGGAAUAUAGUCUAAUUAUACUAUAUUUUAUGAAGUAUUACAGGUUUUGUUAAUUUUAUACUACUAUACUAUAUUUUAUAAAAAAAUUCUGGAGUGCAACCAAUCUAUAAGUGUCAACAUUCAUUAAGAAACCUGACAGUCCCUCUCCCAAUACCUAUUAUAUGUAUAGUUCUAUAUUGAGUAUUGGACUUCACAUCUAUCUCUGUUCUGCAGGGUGGAAUUUCAUGCUGUUUGUGCAUAUAUAAAACAAAUACCAAAACUACCUCUUGAGGGAUCUACUUCAAAUAAAAUCAGUGUCACUUUUAGAGAUAAUUCUAAGCAGUGUUGUAGGUAAGCAAAGUAUGUGUUAAGGAGAAAUAUUUGGCAAAGUCUAUACAGACACAGCACUGAGGAUUCCUAAUAUUUGAUACAACAUUUCUUUCUUAAUAAAAUAUUGCUAAUUUUAUUUUGUUUUAAAUGAUUCCUUCAGUUUUAGUGGAGGUUUUAUGUAAAUUGAAAGGCUGGAAUUUGAGGCAUCAAAACAUCAUUUGUCUUCUCACAUUUUGGUCUGAAUAUUUUCUCAAUAACUAAAUUAUUAAUCUGGUUCAGUAUCAAACCAUUAAUAAUCAGGAGACGAUUGUACAUGAGGAAAUAUUCUCAAUCAGGAAAUAAAGUACAAAGAAGUUAAAUGUUCAGGUGGCUCUGAUUUUUAAUAAUUUUUGUUGAUAUAUUGCUACUUCUCUUAAAACCUCCUACACAGUAGCUUAUGAAAAAUGGACUAAGGAUGUUGUAUCAUAAAUCUUUUGUCAAUAUGUUGGAUUGGAUUCAUCCAUGCAGGGAAUCCUACAGCCCUACAGACCCAAGAAGAAGUAUAUCUUUAAGAGGAAUGGGUGUGUGGAAUUUAUUCAAGUGGGCCAACUACUGCAAAAUAAGUCUUUGCUUCAAUUUGUCUUGAAAACUAGGUAGAAGGACACAUAUUACACCUGUAUUGUAUGUUACAAACUUUAAAAAAAAAUGAAUAGAGUCAGAAUUGAAAAAUUCUGCUCAUUUCAAAGAAAUGAAUCAAUAGUUCUAUGCAAAUAAAGGAAAAAUAAACAUAAUAGAUGGAGAUUAAAUAAAAGAGAUUAAACAUUCUGAGUCCAUUUACUGCUGUUAGUAGAUGUGUGGGUAUAAGGUCAUCUGUGGGAUAACAAGUAAACUGCUAGGUAUCACAUUCAUGGGGGAAAUGGAGUAUGUGUCCCCCAGUAUCUAUCAGUUUUCAGUAGCUCCUCAUCCAUACAUCGAAUUCACUGCCUACAUUUUUGCACGAAUUUGGCUUGAUGAGAAGUUCUCAAUGGUGCAACCUAUGAACCUGGAUAUUAGCGAUAUGUUUAGAUGAGGGAAACUUAUAGUUCUAAACUCAGACCAUAGUGAGAUAGCCUACUGAAUUCACAUGUCUAUGUGCAUAUACUUGUAACAUAUAUGAGAGUAAAAUCGCAAAGAAUGAAUGCACUCAUUGUUUCCUUGUUUGAAUAAUAAAUAAUGUAAAACCAU